CUGUCAGCUUGUUGCUUGCUGGUAGGCCUACUGCCCAUGUUGAUAAAAUAAACCUCUCUCUGCCUGUUCCGCUAAUUCCAACUGUUGCAAGUGGAAGAAAUCAAGGACAUCACGUCUACUACUAGCCUACGUGCAAAGACAACAGCUGGCAGCAGUCUGCCCUGUGUGACCGGGAAAAUGCCAUGAGCUGUCAUGUGACACAUGCAAACACAAGAAAGCGGAAACGCAUGAUGGAGCGAGAGCCACAGUGGGGUGUGUUUUCCUGAAGAGGCUGAAACAUGCUGGCCUUGACACCUCAGUCCUUGCUUCCAUUAACAGCUGUGUUAUGGAGCGCAUCCUCGGGUUAGGAUGUGCUAACCCACAUCAUGGUCUUCUGCAGCGGGUGGAUACAGAGGACAAUCGGCAGGUAUUUUACAUGACUUUUACAUUGCUUUUACAUUGCUUUUACUGUGGUUUUGCUAUGGUAGAUAUAGUUGUAGAUAUGGUUGUUGUCUCAAAUAAAAUACAUAUUUUAUUAGUGCAUAGACUGAUGUUUCAGAAAAUGCUAAUGGUCUGACAACUAAUACUUUUUUUAUUUAUUUUUUUACUGGAAAAAUAUAUUAAAUAACCAAAAAAAUGCCCUAAGACAUGCACCUACCACGCAUGAGGUCAGUUUUUUGCAUGUAGUAGAGUGAGAUAUGGCUUUCCAUACAUUAAAUGACAUCUACUCAUUGAGAGCUUUCAGAAAAUAUAUGACUUAUGGUACCUAGGUGUACGUAUCCCAGCAUUGCACCUCAAAAUGUACUGACUGUGAGUUCAGCUGGCCAGUUUGUUAUACGUGCCUACCACGUAUGAGUUCAGUUCUUUUGCAUGUAGAAGAGUGAGAUAUGGCUUUGCAUACAUUAAAUGACAUCUA